rnacentral:tRNA from 5 species
GGGCGAUUAGCUCAGCUGGGAGAGCACCUCGUUUACACCGAGGGGGUCGGCGGUUCAAACCCGUCAUCGCCCACCA